UUUAAUGAGAGUUUGAUCCUGGCUCAGGACGAACGCUGGCGGCGUGCCUAAUACAUGCAAGUAGAACGCUGAUGUUUGGUGUUUACACUAGACUGAUGAGUUGCGAACGGGUGAGUAACGCGUAGGUAACCUGCCUCAUAGCGGGGGAUAACUAUUGGAAACGAUAGCUAAUACCGCAUAAGAGUGAUUAACACAUGUUAGUUAUUUAAAAGGAGCAAUUGCUUCACUGUGAGAUGGACCUGCGUUGUAUUAGCUAGUUGGU
rnacentral:rRNA from 1 species